CUACGUAGGUGACAAGCGUUAUCCGGAUUUACUGGGCGUAAAGGGCGUGUAGGCGGUCUUGCAAGUCAGAAGUGAAAUUCCUGAGCUCAACUCGGGCGCUGCUUCUGAAACUGCAGGACUUGAGUGCUGGAGGGGAUAGCGGAAUUCCUAGUGGAGCGGUAAAAUGCGCAGAUAUUAGGAAGAACACCGGAGGCGAAGGCGGCUAUCUGGACAGAACCUGACGCUAGGGCGCGAAAGCGGGGGGAGCGAACAGGAUUAUAUACCCGGGUUGUCCACGCCGUAAACGAUGAAUACUAGUUGUAGGGGGUAUCGACUCCCUCUGUGCCGCAGUUAACACAAUAAGUAUUCCGCCUGGGGAGUACGGCCGCAAGGUGGAAACUCAAAUGAAUUGACGGGG
rnacentral:rRNA from 1 species